CCAAAACGUUGUAUUGUUUCUAAAACUGGAAAAGACACCAGCAUUUGGGCUGCCUGUCACCACCAAACCCAAUAAGCAAUGACAGCGACUGAAUCUUUAUGAGCACUAUAUCCAGAUGGCCAGUGAUCUGAGAAGAUGGUGAAUUCAUACCCUAACAGACCAUCUUGUCUUUUCUUUCCAGGCCAGACCUUUUACAAGUGUGAGGGAGAUAAACAAGGUGCAUUGAGGGCUUUGAGAUUCAGAAGCUGAAACAUUCCUGUCCUGGGCAGUUAGCUGUUCCCAGGGGAGGGUGGUUGUCUAUCUCUCCCUGGAAUACAAAGGCCCGGAUGUCUCCAACUUGUCCCCAGGUGGUAAUCUCUAGCAGUGCCCCAUGAGGUCGGGUGUUUUCCCAGGAGUCAGGAUGGGCCUUAUCUGUAGUUUCUGAUACAAAAGCUUUAACAUAUAUGUUACU